rnacentral:rRNA from 1 species
GAGUGCUUGCACUCUGUGAAACAAGAUACAGGCUAGCGGCGGACGGGUGAGUAACACGUGGGUAACCUGUCCAAGAGAUCGGGAUAACACCUGGAAACAGAUGCUAAUACCGGAUAACAACAGAUGAUGCCUAUCAACUGUUUAAAAGAUGGUUCUGCUAUCACUCUUGGAUGGACCUGCGGUGCAUUAGCUAGUUGGUAGGGUAACGGCCUACCAAGGCGAUGAUGCAUAGCCGAGUUGAGAGACUGAUCGGCCACAUUGGGACUGAGACACGGCCCAAACUCCUACGGGAGGCAGCAGUAGGGAAUCUUCCACAAUGGACGCAAGUCUGAUGGAGCAACGCCGCGUGAGUGAAGAAGGGUUUCGGCUCGUAAAGCUCUGUUGUUGGUGAAGAAGGACGGGGGUAGUAACUGACCUUUGUUUGACGGUAAUCAAUUAGAAAGUCACGGCUAACUACGUGCCAGCAGCCGCGGUAAUACGUAGGUGGCAAGCGUUGUCCGGAUUUAUUGGGCGUAAAGCGAGUGCAGGCGGUUCGAUAAGUCUGAUGUGAAAGCCUUCGGCUCAACCGGAGAAUUGCAUCAAAAACUGUCGAGCUUGAGUACAGAAGAGGAGAGUGGAACUCCAUGUGUAGCGGUGAAAUGCGUAGAUAUAUGGAAGAACACCGGU